rnacentral:piRNA from 1 species
UCCAUGAAGAAAAUGGUGUAAACGGGACUU